GACGAGGUGCACAAACGUUAUUCGGAAUUACUGGGCUUAAAGCGUGCGUAGGCGGCCUAGCAAGUCGGGUGUGAAAGCCCUCGGCUCAACCGAGGAAUUGCGCCCGAAACUGCUGGGCUUGAGUGAGACAGAGGUGAGCGGAACUGAUGGUGGAGCGGUGAAAUGCGUUGAUAUCGAUAGGAACUCCGGUGGCGAAGGCGGCAUACUGGACCACAUCUGACGCUGAGGCGCGAAAGCCAGGAGGCAAAGCGG
rnacentral:rRNA from 1 species